rnacentral:rRNA from 1 species
CACACCGCCCGUCACGUACAUGAAAGUUGGAGACGCCUGAAGUCGGUCAGCCAACCCUUCGGGGAGGCAGCCGCCGAGGGUGGUGCCAGCGAUUGGGACG